AACGAACGCUGGCGGCAGGCCUAACACAUGCAAGUCGAGCGAGGACUUCGGUCCUAGCGGCGGACGGGUGAGUAACGCGUGGGAACGUGCCCUUUGCUUCGGAAUAGCCCUGGGAAACUGGGAGUAAUACCGAAUGUGCCCUUAGGGGGAAAGAUUUAUCGGCAAAGGAUCGGCCCGCGUUGGAUUAGGUAGUUGGUGGGGUAAUGGCCUACCAAGCCGACGAUCCAUAGCUGGUUUGAGAGGAUGAUCAGCCACACUGGGACUGAGACACGGCCCAGACUCCUACGGGAGGCAGCAGUGGGGAAUCUUAGACAAUGGGCGCAAGCCUGAUCUAGCCAUGCCGCGUGAGCGAUGAAGGCCUUAGGGUUGUAAAGCUCUUUCAGCGAGGAAGAUAAUGACUGUACUCGCAGAAGAAGCCCCGGCUAACUCCGUGCCAGCCGCCGCCGUAAAAC
rnacentral:rRNA from 1 species